rnacentral:tRNA from 1 species
GGGGAUGUGGUUCAGUGAUAGAACACUUGCCUAGCAUGCAGAAGACCUGGGUUUGAUCUCCAGCACCA